rnacentral:lncRNA from 10 species
GGUGAUUCCACUGACUAAAUCGGGAGUUGCUUUGUGAUUUGAUCCUAAAAGUGCUGUUAAUUCAACGCAUUGGCCACAUUUGUCUGAAGGAACAAGGCCAGGGUGGACAGAGCUGCUGAUGGAGGACCUGUGAUGGCCUGGAGCCCAGCCCAGCUUGUCAGCUGUAGGUAGGACUUCCCAGACCCAACUAAUGCAAAGCUCCACCACAGAGAGGAGACAGCCAUGAACUUGAGUACAGGAAAAUUAGAUCCUGACACAUAUUCAAGGAACCUGCUGCAGCUGUUUCUCCAAGAACAGAGAGCCUGGGGAUGUCCCAUCUUCAGCCCAUCAAGUCCCAAGUGCUUAGUCACCUGCUCAGCCCAGACAUGAGGGAUGCCAUCAAAGAAAAGCAAACAAUAACACACCCGUGACAAAGCCAUUUACUAAAUUAAUAGAGGCAAGGAGCAUAAAACCCUGAAAGAGUGAUUAAACCUUGCAUUUGCUCCAAGCCUAUUCCUUUUCCACAUCUGCAUUUGCCAGGUCAUCUGCUCCUAACAGUCUUAUCCUUUUUGUGCCAUGAACCCCUUUGGUAGUUUGGUGACUGCCAAUAACAAAUCAAAUAAAA